GGGUCCAGACCUCCACUCUGGUCUAGAAGGUGGCAGUGUCCAGGCUCCUCAUUCCCUAGGAGCAGAAAGGCUAAAGAAAACCUGGAAAGACACUCUGAAGCAGCAGGAUGGUCAUAACAAUAAGCCCGACACAGAGCAGGAGCAGCAACCACACAGGAACACUCCCUGCAGGAGGGUAAGGAAAGAAGUCAGUAAGUAAAGGGGCUUCACAACCCUAAGAACAGGACUACUCAAGAAGGGGGCAGAUGGCUGCAAACAAGCAGCCCAUUCUCCAGGAGCAAGUUUUGCUGCAGCUAGAGGUAGGGUGGUACCCCCCCACUCCAAAGACUCACUCCGUGAGGGCAGCAGAUGCAACUGGCAACGACUAUCCACAGCUACAGAGAACAGGGCAGUUUCAUGGAACCCAAGGAGUUCGGGACCACGACCCUUCUCAGGUAGAAAGGCCACAUCCGUCACGACAAUGCCAUGAGCUUCCCUCACAUAGUAGAGGCACUGGAGACAGAAGAACUAAUGAGGGAAGGCCCAGCUGGAAACAUUCCUUCUGGAAAACAUGCUCCCUAUCCUCAGAUGGCUUUCCCUCUAUGAGUUGGGUCUCCUUCCUGCUUAGAUUGAAGCAGGCCUACAGUCCCCACCCCAAAGAGCCCUCAGGGCCAUGACCACCUCUACCCAUUACCUGGAGAGAGAAAGCUAUGUAGAUGGCAACAGAGCCGGUGACUGUGCCCAGGCCUAGGAAGGUGCCUGAUUCACUGCAACAAACAAUAAAGUGUUCACUGUUCUGGAGGCCUGUGCGGCAACAUUCACGAAGAGUGGUCUUCAGAGCCUCAGACCAGACACCUUCCCGAGCUCCCCCAGGCACCCCGCAACCGGUCAAGCCACCACUGUCUCACACCUGACACUAAGGCAGGAGAUGACUUCAUGACCACAGGACUUGGUGCGAAGGGGCAAGAAGGUGGAGCCAUCCCAGGCUGUGAGGUAGCAGGGUGGGGGCUGGCGCAGACGCUUGUGGGGAAUCUGUACCGUGAAGAGUCGCAGCCUGGUAGGUUGGUCUGGAACGUGCCCAAACCUGGGGGCCGGGGGAGAAGCUGUUCAGUUCCCAGGGCCAGCCCAGCCCUUCCCAGAGGUUUGUGCCCUCCUAUCCCCUGCCAAGCCACCAAGGCUACAAUCCUUCCCAGCUUCCCCCCAGUCUUUUUCCACUCCCCCACCACAUCUAGGCUGUGCCUCUUUUAGCUACCCUCUGGGGUCUCACACCUGCAGGCCUGGUAGCGGUAAGGCGUGUUAGAAAAGGUGGGUCCAUUCUCUUGCCAGUGCAGCUGUGUCACCAGCUGAUCCUUCUGCCACACGGAGGCCUUAAGGUCCCAGCCCACAGUUACCAACUAGUCAGGAAUCAAGAUUCCAAGGAUGGACAGUUAGGGGAUCCACUUAUGGGACAAGCAGCAUAAUCCCCUACUUUCUCCACCUUCUCACUUCCUCACCUUGCCAUCAGGCCCCAAAGCCAGGUCCUCAAUCUCUCCUUCGUGGGCUCUGAACUCCAGAACUUUCUCUAGGCUGGGUACCUGCAGCCAAACCAUCACCAUGGUUACCCCAGGUAUCUGGUAAGAGUGCAAGCAUCCCCUACCCCUCCUUUUUUCUGCCACUCAGUGCAGGCUUUGCUCACAUUGUUUCCCAGAACCCAUGUUUAGUUUCUCACAAUUCUGGCCUUGCUGGUACCAACCACUGAUUCCCUAAUCCCCGAAACCACACCUUCCAGAUACGAACGUAGCCAUCUGUCCCUCCAGUGGCAAGCAGUGUGUUAUCGUGGUUGAAGCAUACAACUUUCUGAAACGGAUCAGGGCUGAAGUCUGUCUGCACGGCUUUCAAAUUCUCUACGCUCAGCUCUAUCCCCUCCUGGUGGGUUUCAGCUCCAGGCUUCUUCUCUACUGGGGCUGCCCCCUUCCUCUGUCGAGGCCCCUGCUCCUUGGAACCUGCAAUAAAAAGAGCCUGCCAGGUUCCAGGCUCCUAUAGUAAGUAGUACCGACCCCUUCCCUAGUAGUGAACAUCCAGCUUCUUGCCUGCUACCAUAACCCACUUCCAGCCCCACUUUUUUAGAAACCAAAGUAAAUGACCUUAUGCAUUCAAUCCUUUCCCCAAAGCUAAUGAGGGAGCUUCUCACCUGCCUUCUCUACCUUGGUUUUGCCCUUCUGCUGGUGGGUCUGGAAGCGCAGGAGCUGACAGUGGGCAUCCUGCCCUGCAGCAAGGAUGUUACCAGCCAGAGCCAAGUUCAUGGUAGCCCGUGUCUCUGUGUCAUGGGAGUGUAGCAAGGAGGCACUAAGGCGCCCAUUAAUCUGCUCUAGCUGUAGAAAGUGCUGUGGAAGAGGGAACCAGGAUGAACAAAGUUCAGGGCUGCCCGGAGAGCACCUCAAGUUUGCCAAGGGCGAGCUUACAUCCUAUAGUCUAACGCCCUACCCCUUUGGUUACCGCACUUUCUACUUUAAAAAGUUUUUUUUCCAGCCUGCUUGCUGCUUUCCCUUUUUUUCUUUCAAACCGCACAAAUUUGUACAGCAGGCAGGGUGGGGAUUAAUACCUCCAGUUUACAAAAUAACAGAGUGACCCUCAGAGGAGUGAGGAAACCUAGCCUAAAGGCAAAAGGCAGCACUCUUGCCGCUGCUGGAGAGCAGCGGGACAAGUCUUUGCGGCCUCCCCAGAAAAGAUCAGGAGAUGGCCCCUGGAGCUGCUCCUGAGGUUCAGGUGAACCCUAAGUUCCUGCUUAAGCGGCGCUGUGUACUGUUUUUAGUCUAACUUUGGAGUUCCUGGUAAGUUCUCAGCUGAAAUUCGCGCUAGGCGCCGGAAAAUCCCGGGCCUUCCCACCCGGGAGGGGCAAGGUCUGAAGCUCGAGGCGCGGCCAUCCCCGAGACCACCUACCACCAUCGCCCAUGGCGUGACCCGGCCCCCGUGACCCUGAGCUCUCACCACGCCAUUCUUUAUGCCCGUCUUGGCAGCGCCUCCUCCUCCUGCAGCAAUGAGCAGCCCCGUGCUGGGGUCGACCUGAAGCGCGUACAACGGGAACGGGGCCCGGUACAGCUCUGGCGCCCGGCGCCGGCCCAUCCUGAUCGCCACGCGCUUCACUCUAAGCACCGCGGCACCAGGGACAUGCCGCGCCCGGCUUUCGACCACUGUCCCGGCCGCUAUUUAACCUGGUCCGGUGGCCGCCAGGAGGAUCCCCAGCUCCUCUCCCACACCCCUCGGAGUUGCCAAAACUCCAACCCAGAGACUUGCCAAAACGACACUCGGGGAUCAGUCUCUCCGCCCCCCCAACCAGCCAGUUCGGGCUGUCGCGCAGUGCGCACGCGCGCCUAGCCCGCGCUCUCCGUGCGCAGGCGCAGGGCCGCCGAUACGCGUCAGCACUAGCGGGCCGCUGUUGGAGCGCCCGCCCCAGGAUUCCGUCCCCCUUGUGACGUCAGCCCCCGCCAUGUUUGCGCGGGGAGGAGCGGCAUACGCCGCCUCCAAGGGGCGGGGCUCGGGCCUUCCGCGGGAGGCGAAGGAAGGGAGCUAAUGACAACGAAGGGAGGCUGAUGAACCUUUAAGUGAAGAAAUCCGUGGGGGCUCUUGGCUGGCUCAUUUGGUAGAGCAUGUCACUCUUGAGCCCAGGAUUAGAGAUUUGAGCCUCAGGUUGGAUGACUUAAAAAUAAAAAUCUUAAAAAAAAAGAAUCCUUGGUUAAGGGCUGCGACACACCUUGGAAAUCCAACAUUUAGGAACAUGAACUGUGUCUUUUCCCUUUUAAUGGAGGCAGUGUGGACUUCAAAACUGGCUUCAAAUCCUCAAUCCACUGAUUGCUAGUUUGAGGAGGCCUCUAUUUACAUAGCAAAACAUCUAUGGUCUGUGGUUGGCAGAUGUGAGACUGGGCCAGUCUUGCAGCUCUGCACACUGCCCUUGCACUCAGGGGUUUGGGAGUGGAGGCUGCUCCCUGCCGACACCCUCAGAGGGAGGCAGCUUGGCUCCCAGGCAGGGCAAGUGUCUUUUCUGCCUGGCAUUCCCACUUUCCUGAGGGAAACCCUUGGGUUUCUGAUCUUCAACAUGAAGACUCUUAAAGUUUCUCUGCAAGUGUACUCUAGGAAUGUCCAUUCCUUCAAGGAGACCCCUCCUGCUGCAUCCCCGGCUGCCUGAGUCAGCAUGCUUAUUAACCUAAAGUGCGCUGGGAGGAAGGGGCCCAGUGGCUUCGUCUUUGGGGAUGCCAUCAUCUGUCCUACCAAACUGAAUCAACUGUGUGAAGGGCCUCACAGAGCCCUCGGCACAGCUCAGGUGCUCAGGCCUUAUGGAUCCCACACCCUCCUCAGGUGCCCUGGAGGUUUUUUCAGUCCAGGGAUGAGAAAUGUGCUCUUGACCAUGCCAACUAAAAUACAACAGCCUCAACAAAAUACAAUAAACUUUAAGAUAAACCAACGAAGCCUUCUUCUCAGAAGCUGGAAAAAUGAACACUAGGGGAAAGUGAAGGAAUGAGAAGAAAAUAAAAAUGAGAAGGCUAAAAAUUAGUGAACUACACACUUUAAAAAAUACUAUAGAGUCACAUUCAUCAGGAUGACAAUUGCAAAACAGAGACUAGAAAAUAACAAGUGUUGGCAAGGAUGUGGAGAAAUUGGAACCCUCGUGCACUGCUGGUGAGAAUGUAAACUGGUACAGCUACUAUGGAAGACAGUACAGCCGCUCCUUGAAAAAUUAAAAAUAGAAAAAAUAGAAUAGAACUGACACAGCAGUUCCACUUCUGGGUAUGUACCCAGAAGAACUGAAAGUGGGGGCUAAAAUUCACAGCAGCUAAAAGGUAGGAACAACCCAAAAUGUCCAUUAACAGAUGAAUGGAUAAACAAAAUGUGUAUAUACAUACAACAGAAUUUUAUUGCCUUAAAAAGGAAGGAAAUUCUGACACAUGCUGCAACAUGGAUGAACCUUAUGGAUACGCUAAGUGAAAUAAGCCAGUCACAAAAGGACAAAUACUGUAAGAUUCUACUCAUAUGAGGUACUUAGAAUAGUCAAAUUCAUAGAGACAGAAGGUUCAAUGGUGGUUGCCAGAUGCGGGCAGGAGUGUGUGUGUGGGGGGAGAACGGGAAGUUAUUGAUUAAUGAGUAUAGGGGCGCCUGGGUGGCUCAGUUGGUUAAGCAUCUGCCUUUGGGUCAGGUCAUGAUCUCAGGGUCCUGGGAUUGAGCCCUGUGUCGGUCUCCCUGCGCCUCAGGGAGUCUGCUUCUCCUUCUGCUGCCCCUUCCUCCCCCCCAAGCUCUCUCUCCUUCUCUCUCACUCUCUCUGUCAAAUAAAUAAAACUAAAAAAUCAUUUCAAUUUUACAAGAUGACAAAUGUUCUGUGAAGGGAUGAUAGUCAUGUUUGUACAACAAUGUAAAUGUACUAAUGCCAUUGAACUGUAUACUUAAAAUGGUACAUUUUAUGUUCUGUCACAAUUUUUUAUAAAUAAAUUUUCUUUAUAGAGUAUUUAGAAAAAGAAAGCCUGGUCCUUGGAGGAUAGAUAAGCUAAGCAUACUUCUGGUAGCACUUAUUAAGAACAAAAAGAGA